rnacentral:rRNA from 1 species
AACGAACGCUGGCGGCAGGCUUAACACAUGCAAGUCGAGCGCCCCGCAAGGGGAGCGGCAGACGGGUGAGUAACACGUGGGAACCUUCCUAGAGGUACGGAACAACUCAGGGAAACUUGAGCUAAUACCGUAUACGCUCUUGCGAGGAAAGAUUUAUCGCCUUUAGACGGGCCCGCGUCGGAUUAGCUAGUUGGUGGGGUAACGGCCUACCAAGGCGACGAUCCGUAGCUGAUCUGAGAGGAUGAUCAGCCACACUGGGACUGAGACACGGCCCAGACUCCUACGGGAGGCAGCAGUGGGGAAUCUUGGACAAUGGGCGCAAGCCUGAUCCAGCCAUGCCGCGUGAGUGAAGAAGGCCUUCGGGUUGUAAAGCUCUUUUGCCAGGGACGAUAAUGACGGUACCUGGAGAAUAAGCCCCGGCAAACUUCGUGCCAGCCGCCGCCGUAA